GCGAGUUCCAAAGGCGGGAAGUUGCAGCGGCGGAAGCUGCAAAAUGCUCUCCCCUGGAGACCAAAUUUCCGAUCGUUCGAUUGUCCUUCUUCCAUCGAAAGCGAUCCGUUGCGAAACGUUGUCAACUGCGGGUAGACAUGAAAUUUUUUCCAUCAAUAACUGCGAAGAAUCCCUAAAUCAAGCAAAUACUCUCUCUUGCCCCGUCUAAACUUCUUUUCUCUCGAGGUAUAGCGGGUUACGCUUCCAGUCGGAGCUAGAUUUACUUCCUCCUCCUCUGAACGCAUGAAUUUGUUAGGUGCAGGCAUGAAAGUGGAGAUGUUGAAAGCCAAGAAAACAUAGGGGUAUUGGUAGGACAUGUCGGAGAGGAUUCGGAUGGGGUCCAUGUGGAAAAUGAAGCCCCUGAAGGUGUUGGGUGGUCUUGGGCCUUUACAAUCUCAAAAGCUAGCUCAUGAGAGAACCAAAUAUGAUGGGUCACAGCCGCCAUAGAGUAGAUAAAGGUAGCCUGAAGUCAUGAAAAACCUGAUUUUAAUAUGCAAUGCAAGAAGAAACGCAAUGAAAGGG